rnacentral:tRNA from 1 species
CCUGGUGGCUCAGACGGUAAAGCAUCUGCCUGCAGUGCAGGAGACCCAGGUUCAAUCCCUGGGUCAGGA